rnacentral:rRNA from 1 species
AUUGAACGCUGGCGGCAUGCUUUACACAUGCAAGUCGAACGGCAGCGCGGGCUUCGGCCUGGCGGCGAGUGGCGAACGGGUGAGUAAUGCAUCAGAACGUGCCCAGUAGUGGGGGAUAGCCCGGCGAAAACCGGAUUAAUACCGCAUACGACCUGUGGGUGAAAGCGGGGGACCGAAAAGCCUCGCGCUCUUUGAGCGGCCGAUGUCGGAUUAGCUAGUUGGUGGGGUAAAGGCCUACCCAGGCGACGGUCCGUAGCUGGUCUGAGAGGACGACCAGCCACACUGGGACUGAGACACGGCCCAGACUCCUACGGGAGGCAGCAGUGGGGAAUUUUGGACAAUGGGGGCAAACCUGAUCCAGCCAUGCCGCGUGCGGGAAGAAGGCCUUCGGGUUGUAAAACGCUUUUGUUCGGGAAGAAAUCCUCUGGGCUAAUACCCCGGGGGGAUGACGGUACCGGAAGAAUAAGCACCGGCUAACUACGUG